GAUGAACGCUGGCGGCGUGCCUAAUACAUGCAAGUCGAGCGAACAGACGAGGAGCUUGCUCCUUUGACGUUAGCGGCGGACGGGUGAGUAACACGUGGAUAACCUACCUAUAAGACUGGGAUAACUUCGGGAAACCGGAGCUAAUACCGGAUAACAUGUUGAACCGCAUGGUUCAACAGUGAAAGACGGUCUUGCUGUCACUUAUAGAUGGAUCCGCGCCGCAUUAGCUAGUUGGUAAGCUAACGGCGUACCAAGGCAACGAUGCGUAGCCGACCUGAGAGGGUGAUCGGCCACACUGGAACUGAGACACGGUCAAGACUCCUACGGGAGGCAGCAGUAGGGAAUCUUCCGCAAUGGGCGAAAGCCUGACGGAGCAACGCCGCGUGAGUGAAGAAGGUCUUCGGAUCGUAAAACUCUGUUAUUAGGGAAGAACAAAUGUGUAAGUAACUAUGCACGUCUUGACGGUACCUAAUAAGAAAGCCACGGCUAACUACGUG
rnacentral:rRNA from 1 species